GAGCCGAAGGGAAACCGAGUCUUAACCGGGCGUUAAGUUGCAGGGUAUAGACCCGAAACCCGGUGAUCUAGCCAUGGGCAGGUUGAAGGUUGGGUAACACUAACUGGAGGACCGAACCGACUAAUGUUGAAAAAUUAGCGGAUGACUUGUGGCUGGGGGUGAAAGGCCAAUCAAACCGGGAGAUAGCUGGUUCUCCCCGAAAGCUAUUUAGGUAGCGCCUCGUGAAUUCAUCUCCGGGGGUAGAGCACUGUUUCGGCAAGGGGGUCAUCCCGACUUACCAACCCGAUGCAAACUGCGAAUACCGGAGAAUGUUAUCACGGGAGACACACGGCGGGUGCUAACGUCCGUCGUGAAGAGGGAAACAACCCAGACCGCCAGCUAAGGUCCCAAAGUCAUGGUUAAGUGGGAAACGAUGUGGGAAGGCCCAGACAGCCAGGAUGUUGGCUUAGAAGCAGCCAUCAUUUAAAGAAAGCGUAAUAGCUCACUGGUCGAGUCGGCCUGCGCGGAAGAUGUAACGGGGCUAAACCAUGCACCGAAGCUGCGGCAGCGACACUGUGUGUUGUUGGGUAGGGGAGCGUUCUGUAAGCCUGUGAAGGUGUGCUGUGAGGCAUGCUGGAGGUAUCAGAAGUGCGAAUGCUGACAUAAGUAACGAUAAAGCGGGUGAAAAGCCCGCUCGCCGGAAGACCAAGGGUUCCUGUCCAACGUUAAUCGGGGCAGGGUGAGUCGACCCCUAAGGCGAGGCCGAAAGGCGUAGUCGAUGGGAAACAGGUUAAUAUUCCUGUACUUGGUGUUACUGCGAAGGGGGGACGGAGAAGGCUAUGUUGGCCGGGCGACGGUUGUCCCGGUUUAAGCGUGUAGGCUGGUUUUCCAGGCAAAUCCGGAAAAUCAAGGCUGAGGCGUGAUGACGAGGCACUACGGUGCUGAAGCAACAAAUGCCCUGCUUCCAGGAAAAGCCUCUAAGCAUCAGGUAACAUCAAAUCGUACCCCAAACCGACACAGGUGGUCAGGUAGAGAAUACCAAGGCGCUUGAGAGAACUCGGGUGAAGGAACUAGGCAAAAUGGUGCCGUAACUUCGGGAGAAGGCACGCUGAUAUGUAGGUGAAGUCCCUCGCGGAUGGAGCUGAAAUCAGUCGAAGAUACCAGCUGGCUGCAACUGUUUAUUAAAAACACAGCACUGUGCAAACACGAAAGUGGACGUAUACGGUGUGACGCCUGCCCGGUGCCGGAAGGUUAAUUGAUGGGGUCAGCGCAAGCGAAGCUCUUGAUCGAAGCCCCGGUAAACGGCGGCCGUAACUAUAACGGUCCUAAGGUAGCGAAAUUCCUUGUCGGGUAAGUUCCGACCUGCACGAAUGGCGUAAUGAUGGCCAGGCUGUCUCCACCCGAGACUCAGUGAAAUUGAACUCGCUGUGAAGAUGCAGUGUACCCGCGGCAAGACGGAAAGACCCCGUGAACCUUUACUAUAGCUUGACACUGAACAUUGAGCCUUGAUGUGUAGGAUAGGUGGGAGGCUUUGAAGUGUGGACGCCAGUCUGCAUGGAGCCGACCUUGAAAUACCACCCUUUAAUGUUUGAUGUUCUAACGUGGACCCGUGAUCCGGGUUGCGGACAGUGUCUGGUGGGUAGUUUGACUGGGGCGGUCUCCUCCUAAAGAGUAACGGAGGAGCACGAAGGUUGGCUAAUCCUGGUCGGACAUCAGGAGGUUAGUGCAAUGGCAUAAGCCAGCUUGACUGCGAGCGUGACGGCGCGAGCAGGUGCGAAAGCAGGUCAUAGUGAUCCGGUGGUUCUGAAUGGAAGGGCCAUCGCUCAACGGAUAAAAGGUACUCCGGGGAUAACAGGCUGAUACCGCCCAAGAGUUCAUAUCGACGGCGGUGUUUGGCACCUCGAUGUCGGCUCAUCACAUCCUGGGGCUGAAGUAGGUCCCAAGGGUAUGGCUGUUCGCCAUUUAAAGUGGUACGCGAGCUGGGUUUAGAACGUCGUGAGACAGUUCGGUCCCUAUCUGCCGUGGGCGCUGGAGAACUGAGGGGGGCUGCUCCUAGUACGAGAGGACCGGAGUGGACGCAUCACUGGUGUUCGGGUUGUCAUGCCAAUGGCACUGCCCGGUAGCUAAAUGCGGAAGAGAUAAGUGCUGAAAGCAUCUAAGCACGAAACUUGCCCCGAGAUGAGUUCUCCCUGACCCUUUAAGGGUCCUGAAGGAACGUUGAAGACGACGACGUUGAUAGGCCGGGUGUGUAAGCGCAGCGAUGCGUUGAGCUAACCGGUACUAAUGAACCGUGAGGCUUAACCUUACAACGCCGAAGGUGUUU
rnacentral:rRNA from 1 species